rnacentral:rRNA from 1 species
GAUGAACGCUGGCGGCGUGCCUAACACAUGCAAGUCGAGCGGACAGACGUGGUGUUCCUUCCUCUGACGGUAGCGUCGGACGGGUGAGUAACACGUGGAUAACCUGUCUUUUACACUCGGCUAACUUCGAGGACCGGGAGAUAAUACCGGAUUAUAUAUUGAACCGCAUGGUGCAGUAGGUAAUGACGGACUUUCUUUUACUUAUUGAUGGUUCCGCGCCGGACUAGCUGGUUGGUAAGGUAAUGGUUUACCAAGGCAACGACGGCUAGCCGACCUCCGGGGGUGAUCGGCCACGCGGGCACUGAGACUGGGUCCCGACUCCUACGGGAGGCAGCGGCAGGAGAGGGUACGCAAUGGGCGAGAGCGUGACGGAGCAGCGCCGACGGAGUGAUGAAGAUCUUCGGAUCGUGGAGCUCUGUUACUAGGGACGGCCAAAAGGGUAAGUGGCUAUGCACGUGUUGACGGUACCGGAACAGAAAGCAACGGCUAACUACGUG